GCCGACGUAGCUCAAUCGGCAGAGCAACGCACUUGUAAUGCGUAGGUUACGAGUUCAAUUCUCGUCGUCGGCUCCA
rnacentral:tRNA from 1 species